AAACGUAGAUGGUUCAAGUUCCACGGAAAGGGUUACCUACAGUGGGCCACCCAUUUCAAGAUUUCGUACUAAUCCAGAGAUUUGUAACGGCAAUCUGGGGCAACAACAGACUCCAAUGAUGAUAUGUGCUCCCAGUGAUCAGGGACUUCGACGUCCAAACACGUUGCAACUUUAUCAACCUAAUGCAUCAUUGGUACCAGUGUCAUACCGAUGUGUAAAUAAUCAUUCGCACAGCUCAUUUCGGGAAGUGGAAAACUGCAAUGAUACAAUGAAAGGAAUGGUUGCAAAUCGCUUGGAUUCCUCUCGGUGUUUUAUUAGUGUUGAAGAAUCUGGAAC